CAACCCUCAAGCCCCGCUUGGUGAUGGGCACCGCCCGCGGGCGGGCCCGAAACUCGCAGGCGUCACCUCUCGGCCUCAAGCGUAGCAAAACCCUCGCUUGGGCGCCCGGGAGGCGGCAGCCCCGAACGAAUACUCACAAGG
rnacentral:misc_RNA from 1 species